rnacentral:tRNA from 1 species
GCCGGGAUAGCUCAGGUAGUAGAGCGCGGCCCUGAAAAGGCCGGCGUCCCCAGUGCAAGUCUGGGUCCCGGCACCA